rnacentral:rRNA from 1 species
AUUGAACGCUGGCGGCAUGCCUUACACAUGCAAGUCGGACGGUAACAGGUCUUCGGAUGCUGACGAGUGGCGAACGGGUGAGUAAUACAUCGGAACGUGCCUAGUAGUGGGGGAUAACUACUCGAAAGAGUGGCUAAUACCGCAUGAGAUCUACGGAUGAAAGCAGGGGAUCGCAAGACCUUGUGCUACUAGAGCGGCCGAUGGCAGAUUAGGUAGUUGGUGGGAUAAAAGCUUACCAAGCCGACGAUCUGUAGCUGGUCUGAGAGGACGAUCAGCCACACUGGGACUGAGAAACGGCCCAGACUCCUACGGGAGGCAGCAGUGGGGAAUUUUGGACAAUGGGCGCAAGCCUGAUCCAGCAAUGCCGCGUGCAGGAUGAAGGCCUUCGGGUUGUAAACUGCUUAUGUACGGAACGAAAAGCCCCGGGUUAAUACCCUGGGGUCAUGACGGUACCGUAAGAAUAAGCACCGGCUAACUACGUGCCAGCCGCCGCCGUAA